AUUUUGCGCAAUGGGGGAAACCCUGACGCAGCAACGCCGCGUGGGUGAUGAAGGCCUUCGGGUCGUAAAGCCCUGUCAGGUGGGAAGAAUGGCUUGAGGUCUAACAGGCUUCGGGUAUGACGGUACCACCAGAGGAAGCACCGGCUAACUCCGUGCCAGCAGCCGCGGUAAUACGGAGGGUGCGAGCGUUAUUCGGAAUUACUGGGCGUAAAGCGCGUGUAGGCGGGAGUGCAAGUCUGAUGUGAAAGCCCCGGGCUCAACCCGGGAAGUGCAUUGGAAACUGCAUUUCUUGAGUAUCGGAGAGGAUGGGGGAAUUCCCGGUGUAGAGGUGAAAUUCGUAGAGAUCGGGAGGAAUACCAGUGGCGAAGGCGCCCAUCUGGACGGUAACUGACGCUGAGACGCGAAAGCGUGGGGAGCAAACAGG
rnacentral:rRNA from 1 species